rnacentral:rRNA from 1 species
AACGCGAAGAACCUUACCCAGGAUUGAAAUGCAGAGGGCGUAAUCAGAGAUGGUUAUUUCCGCAAGGACUUCUGCAUAGGUGCUGCAUGGCUGUCGUCAGCUCGUGCCGUGAGGUGUUGGGUUAAGUCCCGCAACGAGCGCAACCCUUAUUGUUAGUUGCCAACACGAAAGGUGGGAACUCUAACAAGACUGCCUAGGUUAACUAGGAGGAAGGUGAGGAUGACGUCAAGUCCGCAUGGCCUUUAUAUCUGGGGCUACACACGUGCUACAAUGGUCGAUACAGAAGGUAGCAAGACCGCGAGGUGGAGCAAAUCCCUAAAAUCGAUCACAGUUCAGAUUGUAGUCUGCAACUCGACUACAUGAAGUUGGAAUUGCUAGUAAUGGCGUGUCAGCAACAGCGCCGUGAAUACGUUCCCGGGCCUUGUACACACCGCUCGUC